rnacentral:ncRNA from 1 species
UUUUAUCGGUUCCCGUUCGUUCGGUUCGGGAUCAAAAGGGAAGUCGGUCGGAAACCGCACAGCACCCACUGCUGUCAAUACCUCGUUUCUAUGGCAUUGCCUUCGGGCGAGAAGGCAUAGAGGCGUAUGGGGUAGAGAGUCAGAAGACCUGCCGAUAGGAUA